GAACGUUCCCUCAACACUAUGACAGAUUUCACACUUGUCAAAAGAAGAGGAAGAGUUCAGCACCAGUCCUCCAUCAAAUGUCUUGUUGAGCGAGACAUUUCUUUUCUUUUUUAUCCACUGGAGGAAAAAAACGCACACAACCUGUGACAGAAGAUGAAGCAGUGUGUGACAGAAGAGGAACGCAGCUCAGCAAACAUCAGAGAAGAUCAGUUUGUGGUCCUGCCUCUCCACCUGCUGCUCACACAAGGCAUGACAACAGACGGAGCCGUUUCAAUCCUCUCCUCGUCUUACAGGUCUCAGGGAGGAGGAAGACAAGACUCAACACAGCGCUGAUGCCCUUCCUUCUCCUUCUUGGAUAUCCAACAACGACUUACCACAAAUAUAAAUCAAUUAAAAUGACUUUACAGGAUGAUUGUUUCGUCAUGUUCGGUAAGAGACAGUAUAAUCUGUGUGUUUACAGUUGCAUGCCUGGCCCACCUUUUUCUUAUCAGCCUUCAUCUGACAAAAGCAAAUCUCACAUAACUGUUGUGUAACAUAGGUCUGCCCUCCCUCUCUGUUUCCUUUUGAUUCACCUUUAGCCUCAAUGUUAUUGUGCCGUCUGCAAAUCCCUUUCAGAGAGAAAAGAAGAGUCUUUAGGAAGAAUGACAGCAGGCAACCUAACAUGGCCCAAGACCAAACAGGUAUUUCCAUAUUUCUGGUGUGUCUGUCUGCCUGUACAGUAUGUUUGUCUAUUUAUCUGAGUUUUGUUAAUUAUCUUCCAAGAAUUGAUAAUGAAAUUCA
rnacentral:lncRNA from 1 species